GUGCCAGCCGCCGCGGUAAUACGGAGGGAGCUAGCGUUGUUCGGAAAUACUGGGCGUAAAGCGCACGUAGGCGGCGCCGCAAGUCAGGGGUGAAAUCCCGGGGCUCAACCCCGGAACUGCCCUUGAAACUGCGGUGCUAGAAUCUUGGAGAGGCGAGUGGAAUUCCGAGUGUAGAGGUGAAAUUCGUAGAUAUUCGGAAGAACACCAGUGGCGAAGGCGACUCGCUGGACAAGUAUUGACGCUGAGGUGCGAAAGCGUGGGGAGCAAACAGGAUUAGAAACCCGUGUAGUCC
rnacentral:rRNA from 1 species